GAUGAACGCUGGCGGCGUGCUUAACACAUGCAAGUCGAACGAAGCACUUUAUUUGAUUUCCUUCGGGACUGAUUAUUUUGUGACUGAGUGGCGGACGGGUGAGUAACGCGUGGGUAACCUGCCUUGUACAGGGGGAUAACAGUUGGAAACGGCUGCUAAUACCGCAUAUGCGCACAGCAUCGCAUGAUGCAGUGUGAAAAACUCCGGUGGUAUAAGAUGGACCCGCGUUGGAUUAGCUAGUUGGUGAGGUAACGGCCCACCAAGGCGACGAUCCAUAGCCGACCUGAGAGGGUGACCGGCCACAUUGGGACUGAGACACGGCCCAAACUCCUACGGGAGGCAGCAGUGGGGAAUAUUGCACAAUGGGCGAAAGCCUGAUGCAGCGACGCCGCGUGAGCGAAGAAGUAUUUCGGUAUGUAAAGCUCUAUCAGCAGGGAAGAUAAUGACGGUACCUGACUAAGAAGCACCGGCUAAAUACGUG
rnacentral:rRNA from 1 species